rnacentral:misc_RNA from 1 species
GAACUGCGAUAAGUAAUGUGAAUUGCAGAAUUCAGUGAAUCAACGAGUCUUUGAACGCACAUUGCGCCCCCUGGCAUUCCGGGGGGCAUGCCUGUCCGAGCGUCAUUGCUGCCCUUCAAGCCCGGCUUGUGUGUUGGGUCGUCGUCCCCUCCGGGGGACGGGCCCGAAAGGCAGCGGCGGCACCGCGUCCGGUCCUCGAGCGUAUGGGGCUUUGUCACCCGCUCGAUAAGGACCGGCCGGGCGCCAGCCGGCGUCUCCAACCUUUUUUUCUCAGGUUGACCUCGGAUCAGGUAGGGAUACCCGCUGAACGUAAGCA